AGAAAAAAGCAGAGGCUCCCGCUUCUCGCCUAAAGGGACAAAAGAGUCUCUGGGCAGAAUAUUAUUGAAAUUAAAUUCCAAUUAAAAUGGAUUUCAAGCGGGCUGUGAUAAUUUAUUAUUACUGCCCGUUUUUCUGUGC
rnacentral:sRNA from 1 species